UUUUGGUCAACCUCUUUCCUGUUCCUCUUUCUGCUGUCGUCUAUUUUGAAUCUCUUCAUACCAUGCAAAAAAUUUGGUUCUGUUCAAAAGAAUGAUUUUUAGUUGGGGAUCCGGUAUUGAGGCCAGCACACUGCACACACCACCAUGAUGUAGGAGGAAUGGCUGAAGCUAAAUGUGUGAUUGACUUAAUGAAUCCUGUUCCAGUGUCCUCCCAACUUGAAAGAGACAAGCGGAUAUUUUGAGAGAAAUAGAAAUAUGUUUAGAAAAAAUCUGAUGACUCUCACAGUCAAAUAUGUACUGGUGAAUUCUUGCUUUAGGUACCAGUACUACCACCACUCUGAAUUUAGUGCAUCUAUGUUGAGAUCCACCACCUGUUCAUGAAUUUUCAGGGAUAGAAUAUUAGCAUGCCAAAAAAAGAAAGAAAGAUUAGGUUGUGAAUUGCCAAUUUUAGUACUAGUGUACCACUGGCCAAUUUUCUAUUUUUACUAUAUGUCCAUUUACAAAUAAUUAUAUCUGCAAACAGCUAUAGGUAUGUUAUAUUAAGUAACUAAACUACCUUGGAUGAUAAAUCUGACAGUACUUUUCCCUUAGAUAAACUUUAGAGAUUGUUAGUCAAAGUUGUUAGUUAUUUAUAAAGAAAGGAGCAAUUUAUAAGUUUCAACUCCACCUUUGUUGUGCAUAGGAGGCAAGCAGUCCAUCGCAUAGUCACAGAAAUCGGGGUCGAGGGUACCGUUCCUCGACCCGGGAACACCGAUCCCGUCUCGGAAACGCGGGGUCAUUUUCGUCCCCGCCUUGUAAAAACCUCUCACAAGGACCGUACCCCGUUCCUCAACCCCGUCCCUCGACCCUAUCGACCCCGAAUCUUUGUGACUAUGGUCCAUCGGUUGCUAAUAGUUUAAUGACCUGGUUGCUAGAAUACAGUAAUUGCAUCUCUAGAAAAUUAUUUGACUGUUUAUUCCCUUUAUUUCGUUUCUAACAUAAUAAAGUUUGCUUUGCUAAGGUAUUAGUAUAAACCAACUAUUUGUACAUACAAAUAUAUAACUAUGUGAUGCUAUAUAAAUAUUUUUCAUAUUAACUGUGCUUUGGAUUCUUGAAAAAUACAUCGUAAACUCACUGAAUUGGGCACUUGCACGCUCCGGCUGGUCCUUGGGGAGAUUUCAGGACUUUCCACUGUAAUGGUGAACCCUCAUGGAUUUCCACCUCCCAUGUAGUGGCAGAUCAUGGCAAAUUCUUGAGGAUUCAUCAUUAGGUGAGAAGUCCUAGAAUGCCCCUUGUUGAUGGUGAUCUUGGAGCCAUCAGUGGCAUUCACCUCAUUACUUGAUGAGGGCAGCUGUGGCAAGACACAUCUCAGAUUUGAGGCUAGAGGUUGUAGUGACAAGAUGGAAGUUGGGAUGGCAACAUAAAUCCAGCACAAACAGGAUAGAGUUUUGCUGCGUGAGGUGUAUGGCAUCUAUGGUGAAAUAAUACUCAGAUUUGAGGUGAGGAUGUGGGAGAAGGGUGGAGGGUAUCUGGAGUGGCAAGCAUAGUUUGGCUCUGUGAGGGUACAUUGCAGCUGCUGUAUUCUUGGUUGAUUGAGUAAAAAUCAUAAAUACAGAG